rnacentral:rRNA from 1 species
AGUGAACGCUGGCGGUAGGCCUAACACAUGCAAGUCGAACGGCAGCACAGUAAGAGCUUGCUCUUACGGGUGGCGAGUGGCGGACGGGUGAGGAAUACAUCGGAAUCUACUUUUUCGUGGGGGAUAACGUAGGGAAACUUACGCUAAUACCGCAUACGACCUACGGGUGAAAGCAGGGAUCUUCGGACCUUGCGCGAUUGCAUGAGCCGAUGUCGGAUUAGCUAGUUGGCGGGGUAAAGGCCCACCAAGGCGACGAUCCGUAGCUGGUCUGAGAGGAUGAUCAGCCACACUGGAACUGAGACACGGUCCAGACUCCUACGGGAGGCAGCAGUGGGGAAUAUUGGACAAUGGGCGCAAGCCUGAUCCAGCCAUACUGCGUGGGUGAAGAAGGCCUUCGGGUUGUAAAGCCCUUUUGUUGGGAAAGAAAAGCAGCAGGUUAAUACCCCGCUGUUCUGACGGUACCCAAAGAAUAAGCACCGGCUAACUUCGUG